GACGAACGCUGGCGGCGUGCUUAACACAUGCAAGUCGAACGGAAAGGCCCUGCUUGCAGGGUGCUCGAGUGGCGAACGGGUGAGUAACACGUGGGUGAUCUGCCCCUUACUUUGGGAUAAGCCUGGGAAACUGGGUCUAAUACUGGAUAGGACCAUGCUGUAGGUGGUGUGGUGGAAAGAUUAGUUUCGGUAAGGGAUGAGCUCGCGGCCUAUCAGCUUGUUGGUGGGGUAAUGGCCUACCAAGGCGUCGACGGGUAGCCGGCCUGAGAGGGUGGACGGCCACAUUGGGACUGAGAGACGGACCAGAAUCAUACGGGAGGCAGCAGUGGGGAAUAUUGCAACAUGGGAGCAAGCCUGAUGCAGCGACGCUGCGUGGGGGGUGACGGCCUUCGGGUUGUAAACUCCUUUCAGCCAUGACGAAGCCCUUGUGGUGACGGUAGUGGUAGAAGAAGCACCGGCUAACUACGUG
rnacentral:rRNA from 1 species